GACUAACGCUGGCGGCGUGCCUAACACAUGCAAGUCGAACGAAACAGCAAUGCUUAGUGGCAGACGGGUGAGUAACGCGUAGAUAAUGUGCCCUCUUGCGGGGGAUACCGUUUCGAAAGGAACGUUAAUACCGCAUAAAGUCCUUAGGAGGCAUCUCUUAGGGACCAAACUUCCGGGGCGGGAGGAGCAAUCUGCGUACUAUCAGCUAGUUGGUGAGGUAAUGGCUCACCAAGGCUACGACGGUUAACUGGUCUGAGAGGAUGAUCAGUCACACUGGAACUGAGACACGGUCCAGACUCCUACGGGAGGCAGCAGUGGGGAAUAUUGGACAAUGGGCGCAAGCCUGAUCCAGCCAUGCCGCGUGUGUGAAGAAGGCCCUUGGGUUGUAAAGCACUUUCAGUGGGGAGAAAGGUCUGGAACCUAAUACGUUUGGAAUUGAUGUUACCCACAGAAGAAGCACCGGCUAACUCCGUGCCAGCAGCCGCGGUAA
rnacentral:rRNA from 1 species